rnacentral:rRNA from 1 species
GGGUCAGUAGGUUGGUCGUGCCACCGGUACGUACUGGUCUCACUGAUUCCUCCUUCCUGAAGAACCGUAAUGCCAUUAAUUUGGUGUUGCGGGGAAACAGGACUGUUACUUUGAAAAAACUAGAGUGUUUAAAGCAAGCUAACGCUUGAAUACAUUAUCAUGGAAUAAUGAAAUAGGACGAUCGAUCCUAUUUUGUUGGUUUCUAGGAUUGACGUA